AUGGUUGCUGAGCACGGGCAGACCAGUGCAGGCCACCCUGCUAUCAGCCACAGCCUGGUGCCUGCAGCCCUGCUUUGCUCACCCUUCCCUCUCCUUCCUUCCACACAGCAAGCACACCUUUCUCCAUGCACGCUCACCAUAGCCCCCUUCCUUGUGACCUGGACCCUCCAUUGUACCUGGCUGAGACUGUCAGCCUCCUGGAGGAGUGGGGUCCACCUUCUUCUUCCCCUAUGCAGUGCAAGCUCACUUCUCACCCAGCAAGGUCGACUCAUCUGCCUCCAUGUCUCUGGGGCUUUGCUGUUGCCCUGAAACCUAGCUGGGCUGGUCUUGCUCCCAGCUUGCUUCCCCAUCCUCGGAUGUCCCUUUGCAGGCCCGUGUCGUUCCUCCGGCACCAGUGUCCUUGGCUGCCACGGCAAGCUCAUCAGGGUCUUGUAUCCUGGUCACCAAGCAUGGUAGCAGCAGCCUGCAUUGUAUCUCCAUCUGGUCACUGCAGGUGCCAACCCUUCAUCCCCCAUAUUUUCCUGGGCCAUGAAGGGCUGACCUCCAAUUCUGGGGAAUGUGGCUGAUCUGUGGUAACCAGCUACACCCCAGGUGCUCUUUCCAUGGUGGUGCCUCCUCAUCUUGCUGAUGCAAACUAGGAAGUUAGGCUGCAUCUCGGAGUGGCCUUCGCUGGAGAGGUGCUUUGCUGUCUCUGAGACUCAGUCACUGUGUUCCCUCCCCGCCUCUCUUAUCUCCCUGGCUGCUUGCAGCCCUUCCAGGUACUUUGGGGUCUGAGCUGGACUU